rnacentral:lncRNA from 1 species
CUGAGAUUGGCUUAAAGGAAGUGUAACCAGUGAUAUUUUCCCCAUUCCUAAGUCAAGUCUUUGCUGUUACCAUCAAUAACUGCUAACUCAGAGGAUGCAACCUUAGUAAUUCAUUUCCUUAAUGGCCAGUUUCACAAAGAGGCUGCAGGAAGCUGCUUCCAGCAGUCUGAGUCCUGAGGAGGAGACGAUAACAGUGGGAGAAGCACCUGGUAACAGCGGCACUUCAUCCAGGAAGAAAACAGGAUCUAAAAUAUAAACAACAUCCUUACAACACAAGUAAGUGCACAGUUCACUCUCGAGUGUGUUCGACUAUAUUCUUCCAAGAGUCUCAUGAGAAUCUUACUGAAACAGGAAGAUGGUCAAAAGAUGAAUCAAAGUGUCAAGAUUUCCAGUGGACACCAUCAAAAAGGAUUUUUUUGUUGUUGUUGUUGAUCUUUUAUUUUUAAACACAUGAGUAUGACCAACCAUGCCAUAUCUA